rnacentral:rRNA from 1 species
CAGUCGCCGCGGGAAUACAGAGGGUGCGAGCGUUAAUCGGAUUUACUGGGCGUAAAGCGUGCGUAGGCGGCUUCUUAAGUCGGAUGUGAAAUCCCUGAGCUUAACUUAGGAAUUGCAUUCGAUACUGGGAAGCUAGAGUAUGGGAGAGGAUGGUAGAAUUCCAGGUGUAGCGGUGAAAUGCCUAGAGAUCUGGAGGAAUACCGAUGGCGAAGGCAGCCAUCUGGCCUAAUACUGACGCUGAGGUACGAAAGCAUGGGGAGCAAACAGGAUUAGAUACCCCCGUAGUCCCUGUCUCUUAUAC